UAAUCCCCAAAAGCCAUCUCAGUUCGGAUUGUCGUCUGCAACUCGACGGCAUGAAGUCGGAAUCGCUAGUAAUCGCGUAACAGCAUGACGCGGUGAAUACGUUCCCGGGCCUUGUACACACCGCCCGUCACACCAUGGGAGUUGGGUUUACCCGAAGACGGUGCGCCAACCUUUAUAGGGGGCAGCUGGCCACGGUAAGCUCAGCGACUGGGGUGAAGUCGUAACAAGGUAGCCGUAGGGGAACCUGCGGCUGGAUCACCUCCUUUCUAAGG
rnacentral:rRNA from 1 species